CUUUACUGCAACCUGGAAUUGAAUUUGGGUUUUUUUUGUGCAGUAUAGGUGGGAGAUUAUAAUUUUAUUUAUAGACGUUAGUGAGAUACCACCCUUAAAAAGCUAGAAUUCUAAGAGCGUUCCUUGAAACAGGACGCUUAACAGUUCUUGGUGGGCAGUUUGACUGGGGCGGUCAUCUCUUAAAAGGUAACAGAGAUGUGCAAAGGUUCCUUCAGGCUGGAUGGAAAUCAGUUGUAGAGUGUAAAGGCAUAAGGGAGCUUGACUGUAAGACCUACAAGUCAAACAGAGGCGAAAGCCGGCCUUAGUGAUCCGACGGUACCGUGUGGAAGGGCCGUCGCUAAACGGAUAAAAGUUA
rnacentral:rRNA from 1 species